UCUGGCAUACUCCCUGUCCGUUUAUUGUUAGCUAGCAGUCUCAAGCCACAGAGGUAGCUAACAUUAACUUAAACGUUAGCUACAAGUAGUUCUAACGUUUCAUGUACACCAGAUAGUGGUAAAUUGCUGCGUGUCGCUCAGGUCGCCCAUUGUAACUCGGUUGUGGGCGUGCUGGCAGCAUAUAACAGCUUUUUGAGUGUGUUAUACGUCAAUAAUUCAGCAUAGCAAGUUUGUAUGAACGUCUGGUUAUUAAAUGGGUACAUUGUAGAAUAGUAAUAUCCUCUAAAACGCUCUAGUGACAAACAAACUUUGCUGCCCUGUUUCCAAUUAUCUACAUGGCUGGGAGAACCUAUUCAAGUAAGUAAAUACAUUUCAAAAAACAACAAAAAAACGACGUAUUAUUAGCUAACUAGCUACAGGGCAGGCUAACUCAAAUGAGCUUCUAAAUGAACUAGCUAGUUGGCUAGCUAGCUAUCUAGCCAACUUCACAUACUAUAUAGAUAGCUAGCCAAGUGAAUUAAAUAUCACCAGCUACCUAACCUCAUAUUAGCUCGGUAUCUUGAUGAAAAACUAACUCCAAAUGCAUUUGUAGGUAACGUUAGCUAUCUAACAGCCAUGGAGGGUGAAAGGUUAGCAGCCCCAACUGUCAAAGUGAGAUAGUAGGCUUUUCUGGAUAGGGCAGGUACUUUUGUGUAGUUCCUGUCCCUAGAAGUGAGGACGGAGAUAAUAGUAACAUAAUAUUCAGUACGGUAUAAUUUUACUAUAAUGAAGUCUGUUUCUUGUGAGGUUUUCUGUCCUCAGAUAAAGAGAGCUAUGAAAGCAUGUCUACAUAUGAAGAGCAGUGGUUCUCAGUCCUGGGGUCUCAAAAGGAGUACACAUUUUUGUUUUAACACUGCACAGUUGAUUCAGUUGAUCAACUCAUCAAGCUUCGAGUGGUAUUUCUUUAUUCAUUCUUUGAUAUGAUCCUGCUAUUGUCACAUGCUAUAUAUGCACGUGUGUGCCCAUUCAUCUAGAUAUCCAAUGUUUUCAUGAGUUGUUAUAAGGGAUAUUAUAUUUUAGUAAUCCACAAUGACAUGGUGAUGUAAAAGUCUAAUAAUUACAUUGUCUUCCAUAUUACUACAGAUACCUUGUAACUGGAGAUUCCUUCAAAACGAUUGCCUACAGUUAACGUGUAGGGCACUGCAAGGUUGGGUGACCAGGGCCAUCUGGGACUGCCUCCUGGGGGAAUUCAUGUGUGAAGGCUACCUGUGUCCUGCAUAACUUAAUGAGGAUGGACACGAGGACCAGGAGGGGAUCUGCAGUCUGCCGACGUGUGCCAGAGUAGAAGUCUGCUGCUCUGCGGGAUGUUUCAAGGAUGGGGUCCAACAACGCAGCAAGAGAGGAAAUCUAUGUGCGGGAGAUCUUCACCUCCUACUUAUUUGAAGAGGAUGCUGUUCCCUGGCAACACCAUAGACUACACUACACAAAGGCUCUUUUAAGAGCCAUUCACAUUGCAAUAAGAGUAUUCUUCCAUUUACAUAGAGAUGUCAACAGCAGUUAUUCAAUUCCCAGUUUCUUUCCCUUUGAUUUCAACUUCUCAGAUGAGGGUGCUGUUUAGCUAAGGGUGUGAUGUCUGUACAAAAACAAAACAGGCUAUUUUUAAUCACCCAUAUUGAAUUUCCUUUGGUACAAUUAGACACCCUAAAACCCACACACUCAUGUAUCAAUCUGAUUGAUGGAUGGUGUUGUGCAGUAAGCAGGCUCAGGUGUAUAACUGUGGCUCCUUCCACCUUCAAAGAAUAGGCAAGAGGGCCAACCAUGGAGAAUAUUAAGACACUUCAUUAUUUCUAUAACUACGCUAUAUUGUUUGUCCUCGUGUGUCCGUUCACAUUCAAGUCUCUCCUUCACUUCAUCCCUUUCUCCUCUUCUGCCUAAAUCCUCUAGGUUAUAUCAGCUGCGUCGGUGAACCACUCCUGCAUCUGAACUGGCUACAGAGGGCACAGCAUGAUCAGAGAUAUGUUUUGAUGUGAGAGAGGAUGCCAACCCCAAGUUCUAUCAUCGCCACCUCACCCGCUUUUAAGAUAACCUUUGGGCUGUCGAGAGAUACUUAUGUAAUUGUGAUGAACUGAGAAUAUUUAGGUAGCACUGUGAUUAAUUAAUCAUAUGAUGCCUUCCCUGCUCCUAUGUUUUACCUCUUUCCCUUUUACACCUCUCCCACCACCUCUUUCUUCAUAAUACACAACAGAUGUGCAUUGAAGUACAGAUUGAACUUGUAUUUAUAAUAUUACCAUUAUAAUAUUUAUAAUGCAUGUAUUUAUAACACUUGGAUAAUGAGAUUUUCAUAAAAUCAUUUUACAUUCUCUA